rnacentral:lncRNA from 1 species
AGCGAGAAUUGCCAAAAAUUGGCUAAGUCUUGAAAAUCGAGCUCUCGGGGACCGGUCUCUCAGGUGAAGACCGGUCUCCCGAGGACCGGUCUCCCGGGGAGAGACCGGUUCCCGAACGCGUGCGCCCGAGGGAAGCUCUCGGGGACCGGUCCCAAGUCGGGGAGACCGGUCCCUCCGCGCGAAAACUGCCCAGUGAGGGCAGUGCACAGGGGUGAAAGUUGAGGGGCUUUUAUGCAAAAUGGCUUUUAUUUGAGUGGGCUGAGCCCUCUCUCUCCCUCACACUCUCUCAUUUCACUCUCCCUCACUCUCAUUCUCUCUUGCUCUCUUUUUCUCUAGAGAUAACAAAGAAGGAGAAGAAGAAAGAGAAGAAGAAGAAGGAGGAGAAGAAGAAGAAGAAGGAGGAGAAGAAGAAGGAGGCUAGGAGCAUCUUCCUCUCCCUCUCCUCUUCCCAUUGGUGUAGCUCAAGAGGUAAGCUACAACCCUAGCUUCUAGAACUUAGGGUUUUUGGGUUUUAUGCCUUGGAAUGGGUCAAAUGGACCCUAAGCAAGCUUCUAAAUAGAUCAAUCCCAAGAAUCUAGGGAUUUAUGGGGUGGUUUGCUAUAGGUGCAAAUCUAGGGUUCCAAAAUGGGGUUUUUGUAAAAGUAU